UUAUUACGCCAGUUUUGCAGAGGGGUAAACUGGGAUACAGCGGUUAAGUGACGUAGUAUGUGCUCUGCUUUAAUCCUGAGAACCACAAUCCUGCACACACUGACACAGACACCAUUCAUAUGGAGGUUUCUGGAGACCUUUCUGUUACUCAAUUGUCUUUGAAAAGUUAAAGGUGAGUGAUAAAUUGGAAUUAAUUUGCAUUGCAAUUCAGCAUUUGACAGA
rnacentral:lncRNA from 1 species